UGGAGGUGCGAGCGUUAAUCGGAAUUACUGGGCGUAAAGCGUGCGCAGGCGGUUUGGUAAGACAGAUGUGAAAUCCCCGGGCUUAACCCGGGAACUGCAUUUGUGACUGCCAGACUAGAGUGUAGCAGAGGGGGGUAGAAUUCCACGUGUAGCAGUGAAAUGCGUAGAGAUGUGGAGGAAUACCGAUGGCGAAGGCAGCCCCCUGGGCUAACACUGACGCUCAUGCACGAAAGCGUGGGGAGCAAACAGGAUUAGAUACCCUGGUAGUCCACGCCCUAAACGAUGUCAACUAGGUGUUGGGGAAGGAGACUUCUUUAGUACCGCAGCUAACGCGUGAAGUUGACCGCCUGGGGAGUACGGUCGCAAGAUUAAAACUCAAAGGAAUUGACGG
rnacentral:rRNA from 1 species